rnacentral:rRNA from 1 species
ACGCUGGCGGCAGGCCUAACACAUGCAAGUCGAACGGUAACAGGAAGCAGCUUGCUGCUUCGCUGACGAGUGGCGGACGGGUGAGUAAUGUCUGGGAAACUGCCUGAUGGAGGGGGAUAACUACUGGAAACGGUGGCUAAUACCGCAUAACGUCGCAAGACCAAAGAGGGGGACCUUCGGGCCUCUUGCCAUCAGAUGUGCCCAGAUGGGAUUAGCUUGUUGGUGAGGUAACGGCUCACCAAGGCGACGAUCCCUAGCUGGUCUGAGAGGAUGACCAGCCACACUGGAACUGAGACACGGUCCAGACUCCUACGGGAGGCAGCAGUGGGGAAUAUUGCACAAUGGGCGCAAGCCUGAUGCAGCCAUGCCGCGUGUAUGAAGAAGGCCUUCGGGUUGUAAAGUACUUUCAGCGGGGAGGAAGGUGUUGUGGUUAAUAACCRCAGCAAUUGACGUU